AACGAACGCUGGCGGCAUGCCUAACACUUGCAAGUCGAACGAGACCUUCGGGUCUAGUGGCGCACGGGUGCGUAACGCGUGGGAACCUGCCUUUAGGUUCGGAAUAACAGUGAGAAAUUACUGCUAAUACCGGAUAAUGUCUUCAGACCAAAGAUUUAUCGCCUUUAGAUGGGCCCGCGUAAGAUUAGCUAGUUGGUGGGGUAAAGGCCUACCAAGGCGACGAUCUUUAGCUGGUCUGAGAGGAUGAUCAGCCACACUGGGACUGAGACACGGCCCAGACUCCUACGGGAGGCAGCAGUGGGGAAUAUUGGACAAUGGGCGAAAGCCUGAUCCAGCAAUGCCGCGUGAGUGAUGAAGGCCUUAGGGUUGUAAAGCUCUUUUACCCGAGAUGAUAAUGACAGUAUCGGGAGAAUAAGCUCCGGCUAACUCCGUGCCAGCCGCCGCAGUAACAC
rnacentral:rRNA from 1 species